rnacentral:rRNA from 1 species
CCACACUGUAAACGAUGGAUACUAGGGGUUGGCAUAAAAGAUGUCGGUCCCGCAGUUAACGCAUUAAGUAUCCCACCUGGGGAGUACGACCGCAAGGUUAAAACUCAAAGGAAUUGACGGGGGCCCGCACAAGCAGUGGGGUAUGUGGUUUAAUUCGACGCAACGCGAAGAACCUUACCAGGGCUUGACAUGAUUAGGAAUAUAUAAGAGAUUAUAUAGCUCUACGGAGUCUAAUUACAGGUGGUGCAUGGUUGU